UUCUGAAAGACACGGCAAGGUUAAACAGGAGAAGUAUUCUACAAAUGAGGAGUUAACCGAUCAAAUAAGGACUAAUAAAAGGGAGCCUCCCAUGUUUGAUGAGAUCCGGCCUGAAUAUAACAGAUACCUGAACAUCCUGUUGAAGCGGCCGCCUUCAGAGUGGCAGGAGGCUCUGAGAACUACAGACCUCAGAGAGCCAGCAAGGGUGCAGGACUCGGAGGGAGGUCUGGACUCCAGUGCAGGUGGAGUCCUCCCCCCCCCCCCCACACUGACACGCUG